ACAAUUAUCACAAAAAGUUUCAACCUUUUUUUAUACAAUGUUUGAUAACUAAUUAAACCAAUGAUGAACAUGAUAGAUAUGAUCACCAGCUUUUGCAGGGAGAGCUCUCCAGCUGCCAUGGCCAUGCCUCUCAAUGUAAGCCAAGAGCUUCUGGUCUUCUUCAGGUGUCCAUGGCCCUUUCUUCAACCCUACUUUCUGACAGCAGGGAGACCUCACCAUUGUUAAUUCUCCUAUCUUGCAGGACAAGAAAACAAAAGAGCUGUGUUUGCAGUAUAUACAUUAUAUACAGAGGAUUUUUGAAGGGCUUAAAUGCCCCCCUGCAAGUAAUGUUGGCAGUUGAGGCAAAUAAAAGAAACUGUUAUAAAAACCUGUUACAGACACAACAGAAACACUUCUAGUUUCCUCCUUGGCUUUUGCCACUUGAAAAGCUGGUUUUUCUAGUUGUGUACAAGUAAUUAAAAUCCCCCCCUUCUUUAUGAUAGCUUCCAUGAUUGUGUUCAGCUGAUUUGAAAGGAUUUUGCCCUCUUUCAUCAUACUUGCAUUCAUAUUUGUCACCUGCAGGCUGGCUUUCAAUUCAGGUGGAGUUGUUCAUGCAGUACAAAAAGUAGAUUCAGGGGAAUGAGCUGCCACGAUAAAGCCGGCUCGCAUUUAUGGCGAUCGUUGCUCUAUUUCGAUGGUGCUGUUUGAUCUUAAAGGGGAUCUUCUACAGUUUCGCCAUAUAAUCUUGCAUAUGGGGCUAAAGAGAGGGCUAAAGACAGGAUCUUUCGUGUAUAAUCUUGCAUAAUCUUGAAUGUUUUUAGUCCCGGCAGCGUAUAUAUUCCAGACAUUACACUUGGAUCAUGUUCAUGGAAUACGAUUCACUUUCAAGAUGCUCAGGUUGAGUGUUUAUGCAGUAAGAAGAGUAGAUUCAGGGGAAUGGGCUGCCACGAGAAAGCUGGCUCACAUUUAUGGCGAUCGUGGCUCGAUUCCGAUGGUGCUGUUCUUUUAUCUUAAAGGGGACCCUCUAUAGUUUCGUGGAUAGUCUUUGCAUAACCUCAUAGGGAUAAGAGACACAUAGGGCUAAAGACGAGAUCUUUUGUGUACAAUCUUGCAUAAUCUCGAAUGUUUUUAGUCCCGGUGGUGUAAUGGGAGACACGAGACUCGAAAUCUCGAGAUCUGGUGAAGGGUAGUGUUCAAGUUUAGCUCUGCAAUCACUGUUGGCUUUUAACUCUCAAUAAAUCCA
rnacentral:lncRNA from 1 species